GCAUUGUUGGUCCAGCGGUAGGAUAUUUGCCUUCCAUCACUUCAGAACGGCGAGCAAAUGGCUCGGGUUCGACUCCCGGACAAUGCA